rnacentral:rRNA from 1 species
CCUACGGUAGGCAGCAGUGGGGAAUAUUGGGCCAUGGGCGCAAGCCUGACCCAGCAACGCCGCGUGAAGGAAGAAGGCUUUCGGGUUGUAAACUUCUUUUAUCAGGGACGAAGCAAGUGACGGUACCUGAUGAAUAAGCCACGGCUAACUACGUGCCCGCAGCCGCGGUACUACGUAGGUGGCACGCGUUAUCCGGAUUUACUGGGUUUACAGGGCGUGUAGGCGGGAGUGCAAGUCAGAUUUGAAAACUAUGGACUAAACCCAUAGCCUGCAUUUGAACCUGUACUUCUUGAGUGCUGGAGAGGCAAUCGGAAUUCCGUGGGUAGCGGUGAAAUGCGUAGAUAGACGGAGGAACACCAGUGGCGAAGGCGGAUUGCUGGACAGUAACUGACGCUGAGGCGCGAAAGCGUGGGGAGCAAACAGGAUUAGAUACCCGUGUAGUC